rnacentral:misc_RNA from 1 species
GAUGAAGAACGCAGCGAAAUGCGAUAAGUAAUGCGAAUUGCAGAAUUCCGUGAAUCAUCGAAUCUUUGAACGCACAUUGCGCCCCCUGGCAUUCCGGGGGGCAUGCCUGUCCGAGCGUCAUUUCUGCCCUCAAGCACGGCUUGUGUGUUGGGUGUGGUCCCCCCGGGGACCUGCCCGAAAGGCAGCGGCGACGUCCGUCUGGUCCUCGAGCGUAUGGGGCUCUGUCACUCGCUCGGGAAGGACCUGCGGGGGUUGGUCACCACUAUAUUUUACCACGGUUGACCUCGGAUCAGGUAGGAGUUACCCGCUGAACUUAAGCAUAUCAAUAAGCGGAGGA